AGGCCCGACAUGCCACGCCGUCUGGAGGAUGGCUCGGCUUGAGCGCCGAAGAAGGGCGCGGCCAGCCGCGAUAGAGCCUCGGGUAAGCGUAUGCAGCUUUAGAACCGGGGAUUCCCCAAUGGGACCUCCUACUGCAGAUUCCUUCGGGAGUCUGCGGUGCUCCCGGCAGGGAGCGGGAACCCCCCGAACGGAAGCAUCUUAGUAGGGGGAGGAAAAGAAACCAAAACGGGAUUCCCUAAGUAGCAGCGAGCGAAAGGGGAAGAGUCCAAACCAAAUCCCACGGGGAUAACCCAUGGGAGAUGUAGGGUUAUGGGCCCGGCUCCUCCUCGCCGGUUAAGCCGAAGUGGCCUGGAAAGGCCCGCCAUAGAGGGUGAAAGCCCCGUAGGCGUAAGCUGGAAGGAGUUGUGCCGGUGUCCCAGAGUACCGUACCCUGGCUUGGGUGCGGAAAGUUGGGAGCCACCAACUUCCAAGACUAAAUACGUCUCAAGACCGAUAGCGCACUAGUACGGUGACGGAAAGCUGAAAAGUACCCCGGGAGGGGGGUGAAAAGCGCCUGAAACCAGACGGUUACAGACGUGUGCAGCCCGGAAGGGUAGAUCCCUCCCAAAGGAAACCGCUGUGAGGCGGGAGUACGAGGGAGGGGGACCAGGGUUGCACGUUCCGUCUAGAAACACGGGCCGGGGAGUUCACGGCUGUGGCAAGCUUAAGGGCUUUAAGCCCGAAGGCGUAGGGAAACCGACAUGCGCGCAACUAGGCGUAAGCCUGGCGAGGCGCGGAGUCUGAAAGGGCUCGGAGUCACGGCCGAGAAGCUAGAAACCGGGCGAUCUAGCCCUGGGCAGGGCGAAGCCAGGCGAAAGCCUGGUGGAGGCCCGAAAGGGUGCUGACGUGCAAUUCGUUCCCCAGACCUGGGGCUAGGGGCUAAAGACCAAUCUAGCCCGGUGAUAGCUAGUUCCCUCCAAAGUGGGUCUCAGCCCAGUCCCGAGCGAGGCGGCUGGUGGGGUAGAGCACUGAUUGGAAAGUAAGGGGCCGAAAGGCUCCGCUUUUCUUUCAAACUCCGAAUCCACAAGCGUCGUAGACCUCGGGAGACGGGUUACGGGGGGUAAGCUCCCGGACCGAGAGGGGGACAACCCAGACUGAGGUUAAGGCCCCAAAGUGCUGGCUAAACGUCAAACCGAAAGGCGUCAUAAGCCUCAGACAGCGGGGAGGUAGGCUUAGAAGCAGCCAUCCUUUAAAGAAAGCGUAACAGCUCACCCGCCGAGGCUUAUGGCCCUGAAAAUGGACGGGACUAAGCCAGCCGCCGAUACCUCAGGGCGCAACUUCGCGCUGCGUCGGUAGGAGGGCGUCCUGGCUGGGCAGAAGCUGGGCCGUGAGGUCCAGUGGACCGGUCAGGAGUGCAGAUCCCGGCGGUAGUAACAGCAAAGAGGGGUGAGAAUCCCCUCCGCCGAAGGGGCCAGGGUUCCCCGGCAACGGUCGUCAGCCGGGGGUAAGCCGGUCCUAAGGCACGGCCUCACCGACCGUGCCGAAAGGGAAGCCGGUUAAAAUUCCGGCGCCACGAAGGUACAAUUGCGGCGACGCAAGCCCAACGCCUGACGCUUCGGGGUAGGCUGAGCAAGGCUGUCGCCUUGUUUAACCGUAUAA
rnacentral:rRNA from 1 species